GAUUACAGGGUCAUAUGGUGGCUCAGCAUUGGGGGACACAGUGGACACUAAAACAUAAUUCUUCGCUGCCUGCCUGCUUGAUUGAAAAUGUCUCCUGCCCUCUUGGCCUGGAAAAUGGAAGGACAGAGAGAAAUUAGGUUCAACCCAUCUGGUUGAGACCAGGGACCGACAGUUCUGAGAAAAAAGCUGUUGCACCGUGACGGGCUGUACCUCUUGUGUCUAAAGCUCAAGUCCAACUCGUUCUAUCUCUGUCGCCGGUUUGAGACACUCUGCAAUGGCUUCAACAUGAAGUCUCAGCUCAAAGGCAUAGAAACUGGCAUCCAGAGAAACUGACUAGCUUGUCUACACCUACUAAGUGAAGGAGCCAGGACCUGGACAUGAGCCAGCUGAUUCCAAAACGAGUGCUCUUCAGCACUAUGCCCAUGGUUCUCUCUUUGUCCUCACUUUCUACAGGCUCCCCAUUCUCCAAAGACUGAAGGAAAUUCCAUCCCCUUCCAGAUAUCUGCGGUCUUCCCUGGCCUUCCCUAAUCUGACUUACUUCCUCUCACCUGUUAGCACCUCUCAGGCCAUUCUGAGAUACGCAUUCAUUCAUGCAACAAAUAUUAAACACCC